UGAGGAAUAUUGGUCAAUGGACGAAAGUCUGAACCAGCGACGCCGCGUGGGCGAAGAAGGUUUUCGGAUCGUAAAGCCCUUUUCUGAGUGACGAGAAAGGACGGUAGCUCAGGAAAAAGUGUCGGCUAACUACGUGCCAGCAGCCGCGGUAAAAUGUAGGACGCAAGCGUUAUCCGGAAUUACUGGGCGUAAAGAGCGCGCAGGCGGUUAUACAAGUCACUUUUGAAAGCUCAUGGCUAAACUGUGAGAGGUGAGGUGAGACUGUAUGACUAGAGAUUGCUAGAGGUAUGUGGAAUUCCGCGUGUAGUGGUGAAAUGCGUAGAGAUGCGGAGGAACACCAGUGGCGAAGGCGGCAUACUGGGGCAAUACUGACGCUGAGGCGCGAAAGCAUGGGGUAGCGAA
rnacentral:rRNA from 1 species